AGCGGAGGAAAGGAAACUAACAAGGAUUCCCCUAGUAGCGGCGAGCGAAGCGGGAAGAGCUCAAAUUUAUAAUCUGGCACCUUCGGUGUCCGAGUUGUAAUCUCUAGAAAUGUUUUCCGCGUUGGACCGCACACAAGUCUGUUGGAAUACAGCGGCAUAGUGGUGAGACCCCCGUAUAUGGUGCGGACGCCCAGCGCUUUGUGAUACAUUUUCGAAGAGUCGAGUUGUUUGGGAAUGCAGCUCAAAUUGGGUGGUAAAUUCCAUCUAAAGCUAAAUAUUGGCGAGAGACCGAUAGCGAACAAGUACCGUGAGGGAAAGAUGAAAAAGCACUUUGGAAAGAGAGUUAACAGUACGUGAAAUUGUUGGAAGGGAAACGCUUGAAGUCAGACUUGCUUGCCGAGCAAUCGGUUUGCAGGCCAGCAUCAUGUUUUCCGGGAUGGAUAAUGGUAGAGAGAAGGUAUGCAG
rnacentral:rRNA from 1 species